rnacentral:rRNA from 1 species
CAUGCAGUCGAACGAUGAUCUCCAGCUUGCUGGGGUGAUUAGUGGCGAACGGGUGAGUAACACGUGAGUAACCUGCCCUUGACUCUGGGAUAAGCCUGGGAAACUGGGUCUAAUACCGGAUAUGACCGAUCACCGCAUGGUGUGUUGGUGGAAAGCUUUUGUGGUUUUGGAUGGACUCGCGGCCUAUCAGCUUGUUGGUGAGGUAAUGGCUCACCAAGGCGACGACGGGUAGCCGGCCUGAGAGGGUGACCGGCCACACUGGGACUGAGACACGGCCCAGACUCCUACGGGAGGCAGCAGUGGGGAAUAUUGCACAAUGGGCGCAAGCCUGAUGCAGCGACGCCGCGUGAUGGAUGAAGGCCUUCGGGUUGUAAACAUCUUUCAGUAGGGAAGAAGCGAAAGUGACGGUACCUGCAGAAGAAGCGCCGGCUAACUACGUGCCAGCAGCCGCGGUAAUACGUAGGGCGCAAGCGUUAUCCGGAAUUAUUGGGCGUAAAGAGCUCGUAGGCGGUUUGUCGCGUCUGCUGUGAAAGCCCGGGGCUCAACCCCGGGUCUGCAGUGGGUACGGGCAGACUAGAGUGCAGUAGGGGAGACUGGAAUUCCUGGUGUAGCGGUGAAAUGCGCAGAUAUCAGGAGGAACACCGAUGGCGAAGGCAGGUCUCUGGGCUGUAACUGACGCUGAGGAGCGAAAGCAUGGGGAGCGAACAGGAUUAGAUACCCUGGUAGUCCAUGCCGUAAACGUUGGGCACUAGGUGUGGGGGACAUUCCACGUUUUCCGCGCCGUAGCUAACGCAUUAAGUGCCCCGCCUGGGGAGUACGGCCGCAAGGCUAAAACUCAAAGGAAUUGACGGGGGCCCGCACAAGCGGCGGAGCAUGCGGAUUAAUUCGAUGCAACGCGAAGAACCUUACCAAGGCUUGACAUGAACCGGUAACGCCCAGAGAUGGGUGCCCCACUUGUGGCCGGUUUACAGGUGGUGCAUGGUUGUCGUCAGCUCGUGUCGUGAGAUGU